UUCUCAGACACACUCCGCUACAGAGACGAGGAUAGAGAACUUGUCUGAGCCAUGCUACCAUGCUCCAAAAGAUCCUAGUCUGCUUGUCAAGGGGAAUUUCCUGUUGAAGUAGAGGGAGAGAUCUGAUUGGCUGAGUUGUCUGGGGGCUCGACCAACGUAAUUCUGCGAUUGGCCAUUUGCUGCAUUGGCCUGAUACUGACACCCCGCAUCAGCACCCUUCCCCCUCUCCCUCUCUCUACUUUCUCCACUCUCCCUUUCUCUGCUCUCUUCUCACAUUCCAUCUCUCCCAUACAGUUUUUCCAGAAACGACAAUCUACCAAGUAUAAACCAGUCUUCUAUCCCAGUAACAGUCAGUAGAAAUAGGAACGCUUGGUGAAAACUAUACUGUAUAGAGAAUAAAAGAGAAGAAACAAAACUACUCUACUCUAGUAAAAACAUCCUAUAGACAUCCUAUAUAUUUUUUUACAAUACAAUCCUAUAUAAUUCUCACAAUCCUAUAGGAUUUUGUGUCACCUCUACUGUUUGAAUUCUACUGGACUACUGUUUUCCUAUUGGAAAUAAAAAGUAAUCAUCUUGGAUCCUAUAGGAUUCUUGCAGUUCUAUAGGAUUCUUGUCCCUAUAUGAUUCUCACAAUCCUAUAGGAUUUUGUAUCAACUCUAUCAGAAUUGGACUACUUAUUUGAAAUCAAAAGUAAUCCCAUUGGAACCUCUCGUAUUUUUUUUACUUUUUAUUUUUAUUAAAUUUUUUUAACAAUACAAAACAUGCACAUACAAACACACACCAACAUCUACCACAUUCCCCUUGCCCAGACCCACCUGCUCACAUCUCCAGCACCCAUCACUCUCCGCCACAUGGCCUCAAACUGCACCAUUUUAUUUCUCUCCAUCGCUCAUGCACUUUCAACAUUUAGAUAAUAAAGCAUUUGACCUUUGCAUUGUGGAGGAUGGAGGAUUGGUUUAUUUCCAGUUUUUAAGUAUGUUUUUCCUGCUGAUUGAUGAGAAGAGUAUCGUCCAGCCCAUCGGGUAUCUCACUACACCCUCAUAUGCCAUGUCUUGAAAGAUGCAGACAGACAGAUUAAAAGUACAUUUAUUCUAUAGGUUUUUAAUAACUCUUGAAGGAUUUUGUUAGCCUAAUCAGAAUCAUAUUAUAACUUUUUUUCUUAAUUGAACCCAUUCAAUUAUAAUUUGUUGUCCUUAGUUCCAGCACAAUACAACAACAUUAAUUACCACAUUUUCGUUGAUCGGAAACAACAGUUCUAUAUUAAUUUCUGUUUUAUUCACCUGUGAGAAAGCAUGUCUCUUUAAGAGUGAUUGAUGAUGUCACAACUAGCAAGAGCCUGCAGUUUUAAUUAGAACUUCUUAAGGCUAGGCGUCCCGCCUAGCGGGAUACCUGUCGACAGCUUCCGAUGAAAUUGGAGGGCCGCAAUUCAAAUAAAAAUGAUGGAUAAAAAUGAUGGAUAUUAAACAUUUAGGUACAUACAAGUAUGUUAUAUUGGGUAAAAGCUUAAAUUCUUGUUAAUCUAACUGCAUUGUCCGAUAGGCUUUACAGCGAAAGCAUGUCAUGUGAUUGUUUAAGGACGGUGCCCCACAUCAAAAUAUUUUUUAACCAGCACAAGUUUCAUAAAUUCACAAAUAGCGAUUAAAUAUUCACUUACUUUUUGAAAAUCUUCCUCUGAUUUGCAAUCCAAAGGGUCCCAGCUACAAAAUUAUUGGUUGUUUUGUGAGAUAAAAUCCUUCUUUAUAUCCCAAAAAGUCAGUUUAGUUGGUGCCAUCGAUUUGAGUAAUCCACUCGUUCAACAUAUAGAGAAAGGAAUCCGAAAAGCUAUGGCUAAACUUUGAUUAAACAAGUCAAAAUACAUUUAUAUUUAAUCCUCAGGUACCCUAAAAUGUAAUUAAACUAUAAUAUUUCAUACGGAAAGAAGUAUGUUCAAUAGGAAAUCAAAAUUAGCAGGUGCGCGUCCUCUUUGUCACGCACAGACUGAUUUCCAACUCUGACUCCCAGUACUAAAACUCAAAAUUCUUCCUCGAUUGGGAAGAAACAAGCCUGAGACUUUGAACAGAGACUGUUGACAUCGAGUGUAAGCCAUAGGGAUUGCAAUCUGGGAGCUGGAUUUGGAUAUGAUUUGGAUACGUUCCAUUGGAAGAGCAUGGGCUCUCCCCCAAAAAAAUUCUGGUUGGUUUUUCUUUGGAUUUUCUCCUAUCAUAUCUAUUGUGUUAUUGUCAUGUCUUGUUAUGUCUGUUCCUGUCCUUUCUCUUCACUCUGUCUCUCUCUGCUGGUCUUUUUAGGUUACCUUCUCUGUCUCUCAUUCUUCAGCUGUUCUACAUCUCCCCUAACUAGCUCAUUCACUCUUUCACACCUGUUCUCUCUUCCCCCUCUGAUUAGGUCUCUAUUUCUCUCUCUGUUCCUGCUACUUUCAGUGUCUGAUUCUUGUUUGUGUUUUUGAUGCCAGAAGCAAGCUGUCGUCUCGUUUGCUUCCACCUUGUCCUAUCCUGUCGGAGUCUGCCUGGCAGGUGCAUCCUGCAUUAUACUAACGUUCUUUUUGUUCCAUUGACUACGUUGGAAGAGGAUUUAUGCCAUUCCUGUUUUAUCAUUAAAGAACUCUGUUUUCUGUUAAAA